rnacentral:rRNA from 1 species
AAAUAAACGCUGGCGGCGUGCCUAACACAUGCAAGUCGAACGAGAAAGCCUUAAUCUUCGGAUGGGCGAGUAAAGUGGCGCACGGGUGAGUAACGCGUAGGUAACCUACCCCCGGGACCGGGAUAACAGUGCGAAAGUGCUGCUAAUACCGGAUACGAUUGUGGAGCGGGAGCUUUGCGAUGAAAGUCGGCCUCUCGCAGAAGCCGAUGUUCGGGGAUGGGCCUGCGUCCUAUCAGCUGGUUGGUAGGGUAACGGCCUACCAAGGCGACGACGGGUAGCUGGUCUGAGAGGAUGAUCAGCCACACUGGGCACUGGAACACGGGCCAACUCCUACGGGGAGGCAGCAGUGAAGAAUUUUGCGCAAUGGCCGCAAGGCUGACCCAAGCACCCGCGUGGGUGAAGAAGGCCUUCGGGUCGUAAAGCCCUGUCAGGUGGGAAGAACACCAUGGGGACGAAUAAGCUUCAUGGCUGACGGUACCACCAGAGGAAGCACCGGCUAACUCCGUGCCAGCAGCCGCGGUAAUACGGAGGGUGCGAGCGUUAUUCGGUUAUGGGCGUAAAGCGCGUGCAGGCGGUUUGGCAAGUCUGAUGUGAAAGCCCCGGGCUUAACCUGGGAAGUGCAUUGGAAACUGCCGGACUUGAGUACUGGAGAGGAAGGGGGAAUUCCCGGUGUAGAGGUGAAAUUCGUAGAGAUCGGGAAGGAAUACCAGUGGCGAAGGCGCCCUUCUGGACGGUUACUGACGCUGAGACGCGAAAGCGUGGGAGCAAACAGGAUUAGAUACCCUAGUAGUCCACGCUGUAAACGAUGAGCACUGGUGUAGCGGGUACUCAUUCCUGCUGUGCCGCAGCUAACGCUUAAGUCCGCCUGGGAUACCCAAUAAACUCAGAAUUGGGGGGCCCCCCCCAACCGGUGGAUAUGUGGUUUAUUCGACGCACGCGAAGAACUUACCUGGGCUUGACAUCCCCGGACGCCCCUGGAAACAGGGAGUUCCCCUUCGGGGGACCGGGAGACAGGUGCUGCAUGGCUGUCGCAGCUCGUGUCGUGAGAUGUUGGGUUAAGUCCCGCAACGAGCGCAACCCCUGCCUUUAGUUGCCAUCAUUGAGUUGGCACUCUAAAGGGACUGCCGGUGUGAAACCGGAGGAAGGUGGGGAUGACGUCAAGUCCUCAUGGCCUUUAUGCCCAGGGCUACACACGUACUACAAUGGGCGGUACAAAGGGAAGCGAGCCCGCGAGGAAGGAGCCAACCCCAAAAGCCGUUCACAGUUCGGAUCGGAGUCUGCAACUCGACUCCGUGAAGUUGGAAUCGCUAGUAAUCGCGGAUCAGCAUGCCGCGGUGAAUACGUUCCCGGGCCUUGUACACACCGCCCGUCACACCACGAAAGUCGGCUGUACCAGAAGUGCGUGGGCUAACUUUUCGGAGAGGCAGCGUACCAAGGUGUGGUCGGUAAUUGGGGUG